ensembl:snoRNA small nucleolar RNA SNORD35
CGGUGGUGAUGUCUGAACUCACGAUGGUCUUCAGAGCCCGCCUGCGUGAGGGGCUGCUGACAGCGCCACUGGCACCUGCUGAACCGGGGGG